ACCUCUGCUGCCUCGAGCGUCGUUUUAUUACCGAUGUUAGGUCUUCUUUGAAUGGACUAAUAACAAGAGGGCAACAUUUUCAACCUAAACAACAAGGCGAAAUUAUAACCUAAUCACCAUUUAUGACAAUGGAGGAAGGAUGACUCAAACAAAUUAUAAAAUGUCCAAGCGAGUAAAAAAAGACAGCAGAGGGGACAGAAAAGCUUUGCCAUCAUCCACAGGAAUCCACAGCGAGACACCAUGUCAUCUGAGAAGGCUUCAGGCCCUGCUUGCCAAGAGCAACCACAAACAAGAGGUGUCGGGUCGAACCAAAGCAGUCGGUAGCAGAUUCCACAGCCCGCACCCACCCAAAGACAACAAUGGGGAAUCGGCCGAGCUGGAGAAAUUCAGCGUAACAUAUAGCAAGCUGAGAUGUUUUAGCAGCCACCCAUCACAGAAGCUUUUUGCAGACAUCCUCACCUUGCUGGUCAACAACCGCCUCUGCAGUGAUUGGAUAGAGCUGGCGCCGCCCGAUUGGGCCCUCAGAGUUCUGCUGUGUCUUCGACUGCUCAACAGGGAUCCUCAGCAUCAGAAAAUGUUUCAUCUUCUCCAAGGCGUCCAAUUGGUUUUUGGUGCCUUCCUGGAUACAAAAAAAAAUAAUAUUUUGACAGCGCCGGCGGAGAACAUACAACGGAGGAGCUCGGACGGCGCCGGGUUCCCGACAACGUCAUGGCCCUGCAGUCAGCCUGCUGCACAGCUCUGACCGAGCUCAGCCUGGAAGACUCGUGCGCUCAUCACAUGGUGCAGGUCGGUUCCGACCGAGAAGUGAGUGGAAAACAUAACAAUUGAAUCCAGUCGAGUUCCCCCUCCAGGAAAACGGAAUCUACACCCUCGCCAAACUGACUUUACCGCAAAACUCUGAAGCCGAGCCGUCCUCUUUACAAUGUUACGCAUUCCGAGCGCUGCGCUUUCUCUUCGGCGUGGAAAGGAACAGACAUCAUUUCAAGAGGUACCGAUGACAUCACCAAAGUCAACUUGAUGGAUGUUAAGUGACCCGCAUAACCUGAAGACGGAGAUCAGCAAGCUGGUCCAGGCGUCAUGUGAUCUAAUGGAGUCUGGUUCCAGCGGUCCAGACUGGUGGCCUGUGGUGCUUCCACAGGUGACUGUCUGAGGGAAGGAGUCACAUAUGAGCAGAUGCAGGCCGUGGUAGAGGAGCUGCUGGACGAAAGCGGCUACUACCAAGAUGGCAGGUGCACGUCACCAUGGCGACAAGCUGCUUCCUGUGUGGGCACAACUGAGGAGGCAAAGAAAAAAAGCGAGCGCCGGCCGCGUUCAUCAUCUUGAAUCACAAAUGGAAAUCCUCGAUUUGAACUCAUUAAAUAAAUGACUCGGGUUUGGCACCAAUAUCAUGUGACAUAUAUUCAGGUAAGGAAGCUCAAUUUCCUCUUUGUUUCAGUCACUUUCUGCAGUUUUGCACUUUAAACUACAUGGAAGAAUAAAACUUUCACAAAAUGCCAUUUGUGAGAUAUCUGUGAUGCCUUCUAAGAUUCUUAAAAUAUGUGACAACCCGAAGGAGUGUAUAUUUUGUCAUGUAGUACCUUCACACACCUGUAGGGGGAGUACGUUGCACUCAAUAAUCUAUUCCUCUUCAAAUGAAUAUAAUCAACAAGAGUCAGUGAGUGUUUAAUAUAUUAAUGACACAUCAUUGUUAAUCAAACUGCGAUGAGA